rnacentral:rRNA from 1 species
UACGUAGGCAGCGAGCGUUGUUCGGAGUUACUGGGCGUAAAGGGUGUGUAGGCGGUUUUCUAAGUUUGGUGUGAAAUCUCCCGGCUCAACCGGGAGGUGCGCCGAAAACUGGGAGACUAGAGUGCGGGAUGGGAGAGUAGAAUUCCGUGGUGUAGCGGUGAAAUGCGUAGAUAUCAGGAGGAAUACCGGUGGUGUAGACGGCUCUCUGGACCGCCACUGACGCUGAGACACGGAAAGCGUGGGUAGCAAACAGG